UACGAAGGGGGCGAGCGUUGUUCGGAAUCACUGGGCGUAAAGGGCGCGUAGGCGGCCCUCCUUGUCGCGUGUGAAAGCCCCGGGCUCAACCUGGGAAUGGCAGUGGAAACUAGGGGACUGGAAUCUGGCAGAGGGGGGGUGGAAUGCCGCGUGUAGCAGUGAAAUGCGUAGAGAUGCGGCGGAACACCGAUGGCGAAGGCAGCCCCCUGGGCUGAGAUUGACGCUCAGGCACGAAAGCGUGGGGAGCAAACAGG
rnacentral:rRNA from 1 species